AUACGGAGGGUGCAAGCGUUAAUCGGAAUUACUGGGCGUAAAGCGUACGUAGGCGGUUAUUUAAGUCAGAUGUGAAAGCCCCGGGCUUAACGUGGGAACUGCAUUUGAAACUGGGUAACUAGAGUUUAGUAGAGGGGAGUGGAAUUUCAGGUGUAGCGGUGAAAUGCGUAGAGAUCGGAAGGAACACCAGUGGCGAAGGCGACUCCCUGGACUAAAACUGACGCUCAGGUACGAAAGCGUGGGUAGCAAACAGGAUUAGAAACCCUAGUAGUCC
rnacentral:rRNA from 1 species